rnacentral:rRNA from 1 species
AACGAACGCUGGCGGCAGGCCUAACACAUGCAAGUCGAACGCGUCCUUCGGGACGAGUGGCAGACGGGUGAGUAACGCGUGGGAACGUACCCUUUGGUUCGGAACAACAGCGGGAAACUGCUGCUAAUACCGGAUAAGCCCUUCGGGGGAAAGAUUUAUCGCCAGAGGAUCGGCCCGCGUUAGAUUAGCUUGUUGGUGAGGUAAUGGCUCACCAAGGCUACGAUCUAUAGCUGGUCUGAGAGGAUGAUCAGCCACACUGGGACUGAGACACGGCCCAGACUCUUACGGGAGGCAGCAGUGGGGAAUCUUGGACAAUGGGCGAAAGCCUGAUCCAGCCAUGCCGCGUGAAUGAUGAAGGCCCUAGGGUUGUAAAAUUCUUUCGACGGGGAAGAUAAUGACGGUACCCGUAGAAGAAGCUCCGGCUAACUUCGUGCCAGCCGCCGCGGUAAUAC